rnacentral:rRNA from 1 species
GAUGAACGCUGGCGGCGUGCCUAAUACAUGCAAGUCGAGCGAACAGACGAGGAGCUUGCUCCUUCGACGUUAGCGGCGGACGGGUGAGUAACACGUAGGUAACCUACCUAUAAGACUGGGAUAACUUCGGGAAACCGGAGCUAAUACCGGAUAAUAUUUCGAACCGCAUGGUUCGAUAGUGAAAGAUGGCUUUGCUAUCACUUAUAGAUGGACCUGCGCCGUAUUAGCUAGUUGGUAAGGUAACGGCUUACCAAGGCAACGAUACGUAGCCGACCUGAGAGGGUGAUCGGCCACACUGGAACUGAGACACGGUCCAGACUCCUACGGGAGGCAGCAGUAGGGAAUCUUCCGCAAAGGGCGAAAGCCUGACGGAGCAACGCCGCGUGAGUGAUGAAGGUCUUCGGAUCGUAAAACUCUGUUAUUAGGGAAGAACAAACGUGUAAGUAACUGUGCACGUCUUGACGUUACCUAAUCAGAAAGCCACGGCUAACUACGUG